GGCAGCUCUCAGGUGACGCAUCACGAAAUCGGGCUCCCUCCUCUCUGCUUCCAGGGUGCAUCACCCAAGAACCACC
rfam:Myotis brandtii contig280991, whole genome shotgun sequence.